UACGGAGGGCGCAAGCGUUGUUCGGAAUUACUGGGCGUGAAGCGCGUGUAGGCGGCCGGGUAAGUCGGAUGUGAAAGCCCGGGGCCCAACCCCGGAACUGCACCCGAUACUGCCCGGCUGGAGUCCCGGAGAGGAUGGCGGAAUUUCCGGUGUAGAGGUGAAAUUCGUAGAUAUCGGAAGGAACACCAGCGGCGAAGGCGGCCAUCUGGACGGUGACUGACGCUGAGACGCGAAAGCGUGGGGAGCAAACAGG
rnacentral:rRNA from 1 species